rnacentral:rRNA from 1 species
CCUACGGGCGGCAGCAGUAGGGAAUCUUCCACAAUGGACGAAAGUCUGAUGGAGCAACGCCGCGUGUGUGAUGAAGGGUUUCGGCUCGUAAAACACUGUUGUAAGAGAAGAAUGACAUUGAGAGUAACUGUUCAGUGUGUGACGGUAUCUUACCAGAAAGGAACGGCUAAAUACGUGCCAGCAGCCGCGGUAAUACGUAUGCUCCAAGCGUUAUCCGGAUGUAUGGGGCGUAAAGGGAGCGCGGACGGUUGGGGGGGGCCGGGGUGGGAGGGGGGGGGGUAGCGGGGGGAGGGGGUUGGGGGGUGGAUAACUUGAGUGCAGUAGAGGAGAGUGGAGCUGCAUGUGUAGCGGUGAAAUGCGUAGAUAUAUGGAAGAACACCAAUGGCGAAGGCGGCUCUCUGGACUGUAACUGACGUUGAGGCUCGAAAGUGUGGGUAGCAAACAGGAUUAGAUACCCCUGUAGUC